ACGAUGACAGGCAGAUAAGUCCACGCUUUGCAAUGUGGUGGAUUCUCAUACAACGUGCCAGUAGGGAUGGGCUCAGAAUGAGUAUAUCAAAUGACUUGGGCUGCCCUAAAAUUUGUGAGUGAGGAAGAGAGUGGUGCGUAUGCCACAUACGGAGAUCAGAGUAAAGGCAAAGAAGAGCACGGGAACAAACAUGGGACAGCUGGUCUGUUGCAAAGACAGAGGGAAAAAAAUAGUUUACACCCAGAACAAUGCAGUAAUCAGUUUCCAGUAAGCAGUAUUAAUUACCAAAAUAUCAACUAAUCUAAUCAAGAAGGAGGCUGUGGCUGUAGAACUGCAAAGACUGGCUCUGACAGGGGCAUCUGCGAUCGGAUUUGUGGAUUGGCAUGGGGGUGGGGACGAAGACAAAGACACCAUCUCUGGUAGGAAGAGAAAAUACAUGGUCAGUCACCCUUUGCCUCCAGUGACUUCAUGUCUAGGCUGAGCAGUGAAGCAAGAAAAACCUAUCUGGGGAAAUCAUCCUCCUUAGGGAGGGAAUGAGAGAGAACUUGCCCAGACUCUCCUUACUCAGACUUGAGGUCUAUGAAAGGUUUGUCUGAGUCAGGACUUGAGGAUUUGAGCCACAGUGUGUAGAGGAGGGGAAAGAAUCAUCUGAGGACCCAUCUUCUUGCGGGGGAAGGGCAGGGAUAACUACAUAAAUCAGGCAGAUAAAGACAAAAUCAUGUCCUGGAACCCCAUCAAGAAAACAGAGCCUCCUUUCCACCACACCUCAGAACUGCCAUACGGAACAAGCACGGCAUGUUUCUUCAUAGAGCAGGAGGACUGAGGAGAUGGCCAAAACAACAUCUCUACCCUACCAUUUCUGUCUACGCUGCAGCAAUGAGACAGACAAGACUGACUAAUUUCAUUAAAAAAAUACUCUAAGAUGAAUCGCUCCAGAGAAGAAAAGUGUCCCGAAGAAACAGAAUCUGAAUCAUCCAAAGUAUGUAUAAAGAUGUAUACAAACACAUGCAUGUAUUUUCCCUUGAGUAUAUAGGAAAUCUGGAAUGUAGAAGAUGGCAGUAAAUUAGAUUCAACAGACUACAUCAUAAGAAUCAAUACAAAUCAGAGUUUCAAUAAGUAAUUUGGAAGCAUUCAGAUGCAUACACUAAAGAUUUCUACAGAGGUGAGGGAGAGGAAGAACUGUGUGCAUGUGCGUGGAAUGGGGGCAGUGCAGAAAUUCCAAAAAACAUACGUGAGACCUUGAUGCUAAAUAGAUGUGGGGGGUGGGGGGAGAACCCAAGGAAACUAUUACAUUACUUUUGAUGAGAAAUGAAAGGGGAAAAAACUGAUCCACUCCAACAGCAGGAACUGACAGGCAGGAGAGAACCAGUUCCGCUAGUUCUCUUUCCUCUGCUCAUGUGACCUGGCUCCUACCAGGCAGUUGCUCUAGACCCCAGGCCUUAGCCCAACAGGCAGCUGAUAUCACUUGAACCAAACAAGCUUCUCUG